rnacentral:rRNA from 1 species
UACAGAGGUCCCGAGCGUUGUUCGGAUUCACUGGGCGUAAAGGGUGCGUAGGUGGCAUAGAAAGUUUGAUGUGAAAGCUCAGGGCUUAACCCUGAAAUGGCAUUGAAUACUGCUGUGCUGGAGGUUUGGAGGGGGGACUGGAAUUCUUGGUGUAGCAGUGAAAUGCGUAGAUAUCAAGAGGAACACCAGUGGCGAAGGCGAGUCCCUGGACAACACCUGACACUGAGGCACGAAAGCUAGGGGAGCAAAUGGG